rnacentral:lncRNA from 1 species
AUUUUUUGUAAGGGAAAAUCAAGUCUGAAAUGUGAAAGUGCAUUGAAAUAUCAAACUUCAGGAGCCUCUUUUAACCUAAAACACACUACACUGUUCUCUGCAACAGGGGCAUCAAAUUAAGAUCCUACAUCUGUAAUGCCUACAGGUGCUCUGGCGGGUAUUGUUAUUGGUAGCUCAGGUCAGUUGGGAAUAGUAGAGAGAACAGGUGUGAGCGGUUUGCUAAAUGAGAGAACAGUAGCAGGUAGAGUGGAGAGAGGAUGGGCUCUGUUGCUACAGUAGCGGUUUCCUACGGUCACCUGAGAAGCUUUCUCUGGCCUAAUAAAUGGCUUAAAGAGGGUAUUACAGCAACACAAACACAAGCACAUAUUUUCUGUAUACAGACACAUGGUGAGAGCGCACACAUGCACACACCGGUACACACAUACACACACACACAAACGCGUCAUGUAUAGAUUAACAAAGAGCUAUAGAGACACACCUGUUGUCAUAUUGUAAUAUUUCACCUCUUGUCAAGGAGAUCAAUAACUGUGUUUAUGUUUUCCUCACUGCCAGGGUUGUGGCUCCCCCCUUGGGCAGAUAUGUGGGGUUGCAGAACAGAUUUCACAUGGCUGCCACUCCUUCUCCAAAGCUUGAGUCCUUCUACACCCAGCAAAAUCGACAACCAUCUCAGAGUGAGAUGGUCAGUCUAAUGGCACAAUGUGACAAAACCCAGAGACAAAUUGAGACCUGGUUCCGUCACUGCAGAAAUCAAGACAGGCCACACCAGGAGGUUCUGCGAGGCUUCAUAAGUCCUUUCCUUUAGCUUUAACUACUUGUGUAACCACUUAAAAAAAUAAAACAUAUUUAACCUUUGUUUAACCAGGCAAGUCAGUUAGAGAUAUGCAGAAAUCGCUCCACCAUUUCCUAGUUGCUGAAAUUAGAAUAUUUUGCCAAAUUUCAGUUUAUGUGGCUAAACAAGCAAGUAUAGUGUAGAGAAUCAUUUUACCAUCUAAACCGCUUUGAAAUGUAUUUUCCAUAACCAAACAUAUCGUAUUUUCAGCUGUUUGAAGCUGGUGUACAAAACUGAAAGUAAAAGACACAGAAAUGUUACUUAAGAAUGGGAAGCAUAGAAAUAGCACAUAUAGAACAGAUCUUCCACUUCUUAGACUUGCUUUAAAUGAGCAUAACAUAUCUAUAAUAUGUAUUUCUAUGUGAAAUUGAUUGAGUCGCACAAAAAGUUACAUAUUGCAGCUUUAAGAAUACAUUCUUAUUGAUUUACAAAGGCACCUUGGUCAUCGGGAAAAGUCCUGUGAAAUUCAAUAAUACUUAAUAAGUCAUUCCAUGUUCACAUGUUGCCAAUGCAGCUCUAGUUGUAAGACCUUAAAUUGUAACUCUAAAACCAACUCAUUUUGCAGUUGGAGGUUUUUCUUCUACCUCAUAGCGUUCCUAGCUGGACUCCGAACUUUGAUCAAUGUAAGUAUUAGUAUGAACCAGUAUUGACAUUUUGGGACUAGUUUGGGACAGCAUUGAACUGUAGGACUAUGGACGUAUUUUCCUUAUGAAUCAAUGCUAAAAUAACAAUGACUGAAUCGUCAGCUACUGGUCGAAAGUUAAGUUAUACUUUUGUAAGGAGGUUUGCUGUUUUUUAAGUCAUAGAGCUCUAUUCGAUCCGGAGCGCUGAAGAUCCGCUUAUAGCACGAUUGACAAUUAAAGGCAAUGUUCCCGUGGUUGCGGAGACUGCAUUCACGGCAAACGUUGCACAUGUCGGCUCAAUGGAAAAUUACCUUUACAUUUUAAUGCAAUGCUUUGGCGAUAGGGAUUGAAUCUAGCUAGCCCUUACUUAUUGCUCAUCUUUAGGUCACGUGAUUAAUUUGCAACUUGUUUAUUCCAUCUCCUUGCCCUACAGAAGUCCUGGUUUUAGGACCAGAGGGAAUGCUGGAUAGGAUAUCCACAACAAGUGAGCUCACAUGAUCUGUUUUCCCUUCAAUUUAACUUACAGAGCACAAAUAUGUACUUUUCUGUACUGUUUUUGUCCCUCUGGUGUAUAGUGAGGUCAUGGUAUAAUUUACUACAGUGUGGAAUUAUUCUCUAUUAGAUCAUACUGUAUCUCUGGCAAUCAAUAACCAGGCGUUGAUAUUUUGUGCAGAAUCAUGAUGGAACAAGACAUCACUGACCAGGAGAAAACUCAUGGCCCUACCUAAGUAUGGGAAAGGGAAAUCGGAGCCGUUGUUGUUGAAGUAGUACAGUGUGGUUGAGUCUGGUUGGGAAUUCCCACUCAUUCAUUUCCACAUUAAUUCAGAGGUGGAUAAAGACAUUCCACUCAAAAGACUUUGCUCUCAUAGCUAUGAAUUGUCAGCAAGAAAAGGCACACUUUUGCUGUAGGAUCCCAAGUGUGCUUAUAAACCUACUACACUCUACAUGCAAAAGUAUGUGGACACCCCUUCAAAUUAGUGGACUCGACUAUUUCAGCCACACCCGUUGCUGACAGGUGUAUAAAAUCGAGCUCACAGCCAUGCAAUCGCCGUAGACAAACAUUGGCAGUAGAAUGGCCUGUACUGAAGAGCUCAGUGACUUUCAACGUGGCACCAUCAUAGGAUGCCACCUGUCCAACAAGUCAGUUUGUCAUAUUUCUACCCUGCUAGAGAUGCCCCGGUCAACUGUAAGUGCUGUUAUUGUGAAAUGAAAAUGUCUAGGAGUAACAACGGCUCAACUGCGAAGUAGUAGGCCACACAAGCUCACAAAAAGGGACCGACGGGUGCUGAAGCACGUAGCGCAUAAAAAUCGUCUGUCUUCGGUUGCAACACUCACUAGCUGCCCCAACGCAUAGUGCCAACUGUAGUUUGGUGGAGGGGGAUAAUGGUCUGGGGCUGGUUGCAUGGUUCGGACUAGGCCCCUUACUUCCAGUGAAGGGAUAUCUUAACGCUAAAAUCAAAUCUAAUUUUAUUUGUCACAUGCGCCGAAUACAACAGGUGUAGUAGACAUUACAGUGAUAUGCUUACUUACAAGCCCUUAACCAACAAUGGAGUUUUAAGAAAAACGUUUUUUUAAAAGUAAGAGAUAAUAAUAACAAAUAAUUAUAGACCAGCAGUAGAUACAGUGCCUUGCGAAAGUAUUCGGCCCCCUUGAACUUUGCGACCUUUUGCCACAUUUCAGGCUUCGAACAUAAAGAUAUAAAACUGUAUUUUUUUGUGAAGAAUCAACAACAAGUGGGACACAAUCAUGAAGUGGAACGACAUUUAUUGGAUAUUUAAAACUUUUUUAACAAAUCAAAAACUGAAAAAUUGGGCGUGCAA